CUCCUUCUGCCUUCAAUCUUUCCCAGCGUCAGGGUCUUUUCCAAUGAGUAGGCUCUUUGGAUCAGGUGGCCAAAGUAUCAGAGCUUCAGCUUCAGGAUCAGUCCCUCAGUGAAUAUUCAGGUUGAUUUCCUUUAGGAUUGACCGCAUUUCCUCAGAAAUGGCCCCUCUCCAUUACAUCUCUACCACACAACCCCAGUUGGUUCUCUAAUAACAAAUGUCACUAUCUUUAACUCAGAUUCCAUAAUUCAUUUUUUAUUCUUAUUUGACUACCUGCCUUCUACACCACCACAACAGCACCGCUCAACCCUCCGCCCACAGCACCUGGAACAGGUUCUGGCCCAGCAGGCAGGCACUCCGUGAGUUCAAGUUGAAUGAACAACGCAGCAUUAGAUUAUGAGAGCAAGAGAGACGCUUUUCUCCAUUUUGUUGACUCUGGGUCUGUGCUGCAUCUUACAGCCUAAGUGUGUCUGUGAUGUUGCCUUUCACUCCCUUCCUCCCUGAAAAGCUAUGAGUGCAUCAGGGUGCUCAUGUUGUAGCCUAUGUCUUAGCACCAGUGAAAGUCAACAAGCAUUGUCCUGAGCUCUCUAGCUUGGCUGCCUCUAAAUCCAGGACACUUUUGUUGAGCAGCGAGGAGGAGGGAGGCACGUCAAAGAGGAUAAAAUAAGGAAGCCAGAGCCCAGAAAUAGUCAGAAGGAAUGAGGGACACAGAGGGCAUCUGGGGAGGGUGUGGCGGGCUGGCAGCGGUCUUCCUCUGGCACUGGGCAGUACCAGUUGUCCUUCUUCUCCUGCCUCCUCUCUCCCUCUUUGGGGUGUUUGUUACUGUGCCAGGAGUAGCUGCAUCACUGCUGGUGUGCCAGAGCCCAACACGUGUGAUGGCUGCAGCUCCGGGGUGGCAGGGGACGUGGGCCCGGUCCUCUGCCUCCUGGAGUCCUGGAUGUGAUACGGGGGCAAAGGCUCCAUAUAAGGACGGCCUGGGUCGGAACAACAGCUUCAGGCAUACUGCCAAACUAUGGUCCUGCAGAGGCUGCGUCAGAACUAGAGCUGGCCCAUUGCAGGUUCUCAGGGCCAACCCUCCACCCCAGAAUCAGCUCCAAGAAUCUGCUUUUCAUAAGCUCCCCCCACCCGGACCCUCCCACUACCCCUGCUGNNNNNNNNNNNNNNNNNNNNNNNNNNNNNNNNNNNNNNNNNNNNNNNNNNNNNNNNNNNNNNNNNNNNNNNNNNNNNNNNNNNNNNNNNNNNNNNNNNNGCUCCCCCCACCCGGACCCUCCCACUACCCCUGCUGCAUGAUUCUUCAGGAGAGUGAUUCUCAGACUUAAGUGAACAUGAGGGAAUGAUAUGAUCCGCCUGUGACCUGUCCCAACUCCAGGCAGCUCCUCUUACAAACGGAAAGGGAAUCCCACAGGCCAAGGCUGAUGCACUGGGUUGGGGCUGGGUGAGCUCCAGGGCAGGCAGGACAGGGCCUGGGGGACCAAACGGAGCUUGGCUCUGGGGUGUCCGCUGCCUGUUCCUGGCUCUAGGCUGACCCCCGGUGGUCAGAGCGAGUGGUUUGGUAGGAGGGACCCAGAGUAUUUGCAGCAGGGGUAAGUUAUAAUAAACUCCACCUGUGCUUGCAAAGGCUCUAUUGCCAAGACUGGGAUGAUUUGAGGAGGGGGUGAUACGCAGGUUAUAGUUCCAAAUUCCUUGUAUUGCCCCUUUUGUCGACUCGUCUUGUCAGUGUUCCUCCCCAGUCACCUCUGGGUAUCAUUUUAGCUGCAUUUCUGCAUCUCAUUGGAGGGGGCAGAGGGAGAGAGAAAAGGACAAAAAGCUGGGUGUUUUCACAACACAGUCUCUUUUUUCAGGGGCGUGGCCAAGGUUAAAAAAAAAAAAAACCUGGCAACCAGACACAGGUGUGCCUCAUUAGCCCAGGUCCCACUUUGCCUCUCUGACCGGCACCGCUGAACCCACUGAGGAUGGAGAAAGGUGGGCAAGAUGGGAGCACCACUCCAGUAGACCUUCCUCUGUCCCUUGGGGUCUGGAGUGACUCACUCAGCUUCUGGGCACUGAACCUGUCAACUUGCUGAAACUCAGUCUCUCCCAGGAUGCAAGAGGCCAUAAAAACAGGUAAUCUGAAUAAGUCCCCCAGUGCUAUAUUACCGUCUCCUUUUCCUUUUUAAUUCUUGGACAUUUAUAACCAACAGAGAUCAUUUGACUUGAAUGAUGAAUAAUAAUUUGCUUUUGCAUUUCCAGAACUGAAAUACAGACCCAAAUCAGGGAGUUAUGAGUCUUUCAUCCAGUGACCGCAAAGCAAGAUGAGUUAGUUUAAAAAGGGUAGCAAACGCAUAGAGGAAAAAGCUCGAUCCAGAGAGUCAGGAAGGGAAGUGACUUGAGAGGCAGGACCCCAACUGUUGCAGGGUUGACCAUAUGCAGUCCAGUUACUCGGGCAUUUAAUACACAUGACUAAGAGCCUUCUAUGAGGAAGAGACUGAGCUGGAGGCUAGGAAGACAGAGAAAAGUAAAAUGUCUAGCCCUACCCUCAAGUUAUUGUCAGUCUUUCAGGAGACAGUGAAAAGACACAUAAGCCAAAACAUCAAACUAUUUGGACUGUGAAUUUCUCUGGAGUGUUUAGCUGUCUGAUUUGCUGUGUGAUCAUCAUUGUUAUUCUCAUUCACCAAGUGCAUAAAAUUUCAUAUAAUUCUCACCAUAAUCUUUCCAUUAUUUAUUAUUCUCCCCAUUUUAUAAAUGAGGAAACUGAGUCCUUAGAUCAGAUAGCAUGCCCAAGGUCAAAUAGCUGGGAAGUGGGGGAACUGGCAUCAACUUGACUCCAGAACCCAUUGUCACCCACCACGUGACAAUGUCCUCCGGGGCCUCCAUCUCUAAUCUCGUUUCCUGAUACUCUCUUGCUUGAGUCCACUUCUCACCUCUCACUUACACUUAUCUCUUCCCACUCACCCACCCUAACAUCCUUUCCUCCUGUCUCCAAGAAUAAGGCACGCAGUCAUCACAGUUCAUUCAUCACUCCACCCCUUCUUCUCCAGCCCUUAGGACUGUCCACUCACCUUUCUCCUGCACCCUCAGUUCAUCACCUCUGCUCUCUGCUUCCCCUCAGCCCCGAAACGUGUCAAAGACUCUGCUUUGCUAAACCCACAAACAAAAUAGCACAACAGAAGCUUCCUUUAUCAUAUACUUUACCUGGGUCUCCUCCAUUGCAGGCAGAUUCUUUACCAUCUGAACCAUCAGGGAAGCCCUAUACACCUAUUAGAACACCUGUUAAAACAGCUCAAAUAAAAAAGUAACGAUACCAAAUGCUGGUGAGUAUAUGGAAAAACUAGAUCUCAUGAAUUUCCCGGGAAUGUAAAGUGGUAUAGCCUUCUGGAAAAUAGCUUGGUGUGUGACAGUAGUGGUAAAGAGCCUGCCUGCCAAUGCAGGAGACAUAAAAAACUCCUUUUACGGUUUCGAUCCCUGGGUGAGAAAGAUCCCCUGGGAGAAGGAAAUGGCAACCCAUUCCAGUAUUCUUGCCUGGAGAAUNNNNNNNNNNNNNNNNNNNNNNNNNNNNNNNNNNNNNNNNNNNNNNNNNNNNNNNNNNNNNNNNNNNNNNNNNNNNNNNNNNNNNNNNNNNNNNNNNNNUCCAGUAUUCUUGCCUGGAGAAUCCCAUGGACAGAGGAUACUGGCAGGCUACAAUCCAUAGGAUUGCAAUGAGUCAAACACAACUUAGCAUACAUGCACAUAGAAAACUACACAUAUACCUGCCAGAUAAUGCAGCAGUUGCACUCCUAGGCACAUAUGCCAGAGAAAUGUGAACUUAUGUCACAAAAGCGUCUACAUGAUGUUCAUUGCAGCUUUAUUUCUAAUAGCUCCAAACUGGAAACAACCCAAAUGUUUUCAGCCAGUAAAUGUCUAAACUAAGUGUGGUGAUAAUCAUAUAAUGGAAUACUACUCUAAUAAAGAGAAACAGCUCCUGAUACUUGCAAUGGUAUUGAUGGAUCUCAAGGGUAUUAUGCUGACUGAAAAGAGGAAGCUGGUUUUGGAAUGUUACAUUCUAUAUGGUACCAUUUAUAUAAUAUUUUCAGAAUGACAAAAUCAUAGGGAUGGUGAACAGAUGCUUGUCACCAGGGAUUGUGGCAAUAUGAAGGAGUUCUUUGUGGUGAUGAAAUAGUUCUGUAUUUAACUGUAGUGGUGGUUGCACAAAUCUAGGCGGAUGACAAAGUUGUGUAGAACUGUUCAUACACAGACAUGAAUGCAUAUAAAACUGUUAGAACUUGAAUAAGAUCUGUUCAGUUUCUCAGUUGUGUCCGACUCUUUGCAACCCCAUGGACUGUAGCACACCAGG
rnacentral:lncRNA from 1 species